UACGUAGGGAGCAAGCGUUGUUCGGAUUUACUGGGCGUAAAGGGUGCGUAGGCGGCGCAGUAAGUUGGGUGUGAAAUCCCUCGGCUUAACCGAGGAAUUGCGCCCAAAACUACUGUGCUCGAGGGAGAUAGAGGUGAGCGGAACUUAGGGUGGAGCGGUGAAAUGCGUUGAUAUCCUAAGGAACACCGGUGGCGAAAGCGGCUCACUGGAUCUCUUCUGACGCUGAGGCACGAAAGCUAGGGUAGCAAACGGG
rnacentral:rRNA from 1 species